rnacentral:rRNA from 1 species
CAGCCGCCGCGGUAAUACCGGCGGCCCGAGUGGCGGUCACUAUUAUUGGGCUUAAAGCGUCCGUAGCCGGGUUGGGAAGUCCUCCGGGAAAUCUGGCCGCUUAACGGUCAGAAUGCCGGAGGAUACUCCCAGCCUAGGGAGCGGGAGAGGCCGAGGGUAUUCCCGGAGUAGGGGGGAAAUCCUAUAAUCCCGGGAGGACCACCUGUGGCGAAGGCGCUCGGCUGGAACGCGUCCGACGGUGAGGGACGAAGGCCAGGGGAGCAAACCGGAUUAGAUACCCGGGUAGUCCUGGCUGUAAACGAUGCGGACUUUGUGUCGGACAAGCUAUGAGCUUGUCCGGUGCCGGAGGGAAACCGUUAAGUCCGCCGCCUGGGGAGUACGGCCGCAAGGUUGAAACUUAAAGGAAUUGGCGGG